CCCCCUUCCCAGAGAUCAGAAUUUUUGUUCUUGGAUUCUGCGAGUCCGAGGGACGUUGUUGGUGAUCUGCUCUGCUCUUGGACUGGAUCCGAAGAUCGGACGGCGAAGAACCCACUAAUCAACCGGUUUAUUACGGGAGAGGGGGCUGGCCGGAAGCUAAAUCAGCUUCCCGCUCCGUCCGUGUGUUCUCCCCUCCCCUGUUCUUGCUGAUCAACUUGGUUUCUCUUCUCCUCUGCUAUGUUACUGACAAAGUACUCUAUCAAGUAUGCAUGUAAAUAUUAUUUCUUGGUCGGCUGGUGAAAAUGAAGAACUCACUCCAUGCUUAAGAAUCGCUCUGUUGCUGUGCUUGUGAAUUGUUCAAUGCUUGGUUAGAUAUGUGCCAUUUUUUCGGGAUCAAACAAACUUUCAGAGCUUUAGCCAUGGACACUUGUCCAUUAAGAAAGCCAGCAAGAAAGUACCAACUGCCUUUGUGUACAAGUACAAGUACAAGGUAGGUAUUUUGCCAUCUUACGCUGUCAAAAGAAAAAUUUACAUCUGGAGACUGAGUAUGUCUAUGGACUUUUGUACCGUGUGUUCUAGUAGUUUUUGAAGAAAUCAACGUGCACAUACGCAGUUGAGUGGGUCUUUCGGCGUGCCAUUUUUACCCGGUCAGAGUCGCAGGGAAAGAACAAAUUCACCAGCACCAACCUGACAAAAAUCGAAGUAGAACAAAAUAUUGAGAUGUAGGCCUGUGCUUUGUUCUUACUCUGAAGAAAAUCUUGACCGGAGAAAAUCCCAUCAAAAUAACCACCUAUAUGUGAAAACAUCGGCC
rnacentral:lncRNA from 1 species